AAUGUAGGCUGUUAUGUAAGUCAGUGGUGAAAUCCCUCGGCUCAACCGAGGAACUGCCUUUGAUACUGCAUGACUUGAGGACAGGAGAGGAAAGUGGAAUUCCCGGUGUAGCGGUGGAAUGCGUAGAUAUCGGGAGGAACACCAGAGGCGAAGGCGGCUUUCUGGACUGGUCCUGACGCUGAGAUUCGAAAGCUAGGGUAGCAAACA
rnacentral:rRNA from 1 species